rnacentral:lncRNA from 1 species
ACCUGAUAACACAAGGCUGGGGGAAGCUAGGGAGGGAGGGAGGUAGAGGAGGAGGCAGAGACCUGAUAACACAAGACUGGGGGAAGCUAGUGAGGGAGGGAGGUAGAGGGGGAGGCAGAGACCUGAUAACACAAGACUGGCGGAAGCUAGGGAGAGAGGGAGGGAGGUAGAGGAGGAGGCAGAGACCUGAUAACACAAGGCUGGGGGAAGCUAGGGAGGGAGGGAGGUAGAGGAGGAGGCAGAGACCUGAUAACACAGGGCUGGGGGAAGCUAGGGAGGGAGGGAGGUAGAGGAGGAGGCAGAGACCUGAUAACACAAGGCUGGGGGAAGCUAGGGAGGGAGGGAGGUAGAGGGUGAGGCAGAGACCUGAUAACACAAGGCUGGGGAAGCUAGGGAGGGAGGGAGGUAGAGGGGGAGGCAGAGACCUGAUAACACAAGAUUGGGGGAAGCUAGGGAGGGAGGGAGGUAGAGGAGGAGGCAGAGACCUGAUAACACAAGACUGGGGGAAGCUAGGGAGGGAGGGAGGUAGAGGGGGAGGCAGAGACCUGAUAACACAAGACUGGGGGAAGCUAGGGAGGGAGGGAGGUAGAGGAGGAGGCAGAGACCUGAUAACACAAGGCUGGGGGAAGCG